rnacentral:rRNA from 1 species
AUAUCAAUAAGCGGAGGAAAAGAAACUAACAAGGAUUCCCCUAGUAACGGCGAGUGAAGCGGGAAGAGCUCAAAUUUGAAAUCUGGUGGCCUCAGGCUAUCCGAGUUGUAAUCUAUAGAAACAUUUUCCGCGUUGGCCCAUGUACAAGUCUCUUGGAAUAGAGCGUCAUAGAGGGUGAGAAUCCCGUCCUUGACAUGGACUACCAGUGCUUUGUGAUAUGUUUUCAACGAGUCGAGUUGUUUGGGAAUGCAGCUCAAAAUGGGUGGUAAAUUCCAUCUAAAGCUAAAUAUUGGCGAGAGACCGAUAGCGAACAAGUACCGUGAGGGAAAGAUGAAAAGCACUUUGGAAAGAGAGUUAAACAGUAU